rnacentral:SRP_RNA from 1 species
GCCAGGCGUGGUGAUGCACGCCUGUAAUCCCAGCUACUCGGGAGGCUGAGGCAGGAGAAUUGCUUGAACCCAGGAGGCAGAGGUUGCAGUGAGCUGAGAUCAUACCACUGGACUCCAGCCUGGGUGACAGAGCUAGACUCUGUCUUGA